rnacentral:tRNA from 1 species
GCCUUGCUGGCUCAGCCAGUAGAGCAUGAGACUCUUGAUCUCAGGGUUGUGAGUUCAAACCCCACAUUGGGUA